AUCUGGGGUGACCAGCCAGGGUCCUGCAAUGAAGCCAAGGAAGGGCCAUAUUCACUCAGGUUGAGUUCAGCCUCUGACACCAAGGCUGAGUGGGUCCUAAGCCUAAAGGAAAGAUGUUGCCUCAUGUGCUAGUUGGGGACCGGACCCAUCUAGAGGAGUGCCUGACUGCAGGGCAGGACUCCUUAGCAGUAAAGGACUCCUCAGGAGUAAAGGUCUGGCUGAAAGUAGUGAAUAGGAGUCAGCUGAGGUUUGGGGUGUGAUUCCAGCAGCUCCAGCUGAAAAAAAGCAGUGCUAGACUGGAAAAAGGUACUGAAACAAUGUCUAUGCACUAUCUCUGUACUUUCAGUAUCUGCUGAUCUCCUUUGGACUUCAGACCUGACCAUGGAGUAUCCUGGACUUGCCCUGCCCUUGCCCUGGUUUGCCCACAGCCUGCUUGAAGCUUGAUCUUGGAGUGCUCUGACUUUGCUGCCUGCCUGACCCUUUUGCUGUUGUGGACUCUGACUUUGAAUUGGCCCUGAAUACUGCAUUGGUGUUGCCCGCAUUGGUGUUACUGCUGGGAAAUCUCUUGCCUCCUCAGGAGCCUGGUGGGAACAGGACAUUUACUUACAGGAACACACAGGAGAAAUGGACCACUGCAGGAUUGAAAAGUGCCAGUUCAUGGGAUCCAAGAUGGGGUUUUGAAUAGCGCCAAGCAGCAAAUAGACUCCCUGUCAUGACAGGCUUUCUGUGGCCAGGCUCUUCUUCCUCACAGUGUGCACCUCUUCAGUGCCAUGACGUAAGUUUUGCACAUUAUCAGGCCCUAGACACUGGACUGGACAGACAUGCAUUGGUUCCUUCCACAGCUUGCCUCCCUGUGAAUGUACCUAAGGAGCUGGAUAUUGCCCCAAGUUCUUAGGGUAGCCUGCUUAAUGGAAGAUAGUUUAUUAAAUAAGAGAUGAAAAACAUUGCAUAGUAUGACUCAAAUUGUUCUGCACAAAAUAGAUUCCAAAUAUCUACUUGCAGUAAAGAGCAAAGCAUCACGGUAAAAAAAAAUUUAAAAAAUCAACAGGCAUUUGCCAAAUGAUCAAAUUCAUUUAAAAUUAUUUCUAUUUGAUUUGCAAUAACUAGUCCAGGUGCACCUUGGAAAAAGAAGAUAAUUAAUAGUCAGCCAAAUGACAGCUUAAUCUUGCAGCCAUUUUUCACAUGGGAACCCACCCAAGAAUCCAUAGUACAACUUUGCCUGGAGUUGUUGCUGUCUUGGAUUGAAAAUUGGUAUACAUCUGUGGCUUGAAUAGAUCUUGUGAGAAGCAUUUGUAAUAAAGUGGCACAGAGAAUGAAUAUAUUUCAUGUAGUGCAUUGGGAUUUUUUUGUGGGGGGAGGGUAAUCGCAAAGUAUUUAUCAGCAUUUCUAGAAACCUGUUGACCAUUAAGUGGUGCUUGUAAUCCACUUUUUAAAAAUGUAAAUCCACUGUGGUGUAAUACAUCAAAGAAAUAAAAGCUAGAAUGUUGUCUGAG